rnacentral:ncRNA from 14 species
UUUAUGAUGAUAACCUGAUUACAGUGUCUUUAAGUUCUUCGGAUCGAUGUGAGCACAUGAUUUCUCAAUAGACUACAACGGUAUCUGAUA